UACAGAGGGUGCGAGCGUUAAUCGGAAUUACUGGGCGUAAAGCGCACGUAGGCGGCUUGGUAUGUCGGGUGUGAAAUCCCCGGGCUCAACCUGGGAACUGCAUCCGAAACUGCCUUGCUCGAGUAUGGGAGAGGGAAGUGGAAUUUCCGGUGUAGCGGUGAAAUGCGUAGAUAUCGGGAGGAACACCAGUGGCGAAGGCGGCGACCUGGGCCAAUACUGACGCUGAGGCGCGAAAGCGUGGGGAGCAAACAGG
rnacentral:rRNA from 1 species